CCACAUGAAUCUCAGGGUUUCUAUUUCAUGAAGAGACCCCGUGACUACAGCAACUCUUACAAAGCUUUGAAGCUGACAGAUCUGAUGGUGUUCUGACACUUCUGUCUGUGUAGCAUUCCAAGCGCUAACAACCAGAGAUCAAAAUAUUGGACAACUGUGAGAGAUAUCGAAGAUACCAGCCUGUGGUAUCAAAUGCUCAGCCAAUGUUUCAUUCUUUAUGUAAAAAAUAAAUGUAUCCAUGUCAUUAGCAUAGAGAUUUCUUUCAUCGUUAAUGAAUGGUGAAAUUAUAUCUCUAUCAAGGAAUUGUUUUGAAAUAAAUUUAUUUAUGAUUGGUG
rnacentral:lncRNA from 1 species